UACGGGGGGGGCAAGCGUUGUUCGGAAUUACUGGGCGUAAAGAGCUCGUAGGCGGUCUGUCGCGUCUGCUGUGAAAACUCAGGGCUUAACCCUGAGCUUGCAGUGGGUACGGGCAGACUAGAGUGCGGUAGGGGAGACUGGAAUUCCUGGUGUAGCGGUGAGAUGCGCAGAUAUCAGGAGGAACACCGGUGGCGAAGGCGGGUCUCUGGGCCGUAACUGACGCUGAGGAGCGAAAGCAUGGGGAGCGAACAGG
rnacentral:rRNA from 1 species